GAGCGUACACGGUGGAUGCCUUGGCAACUAGAGGCGAUGAAAGACGUUGUAGCCUGCGAUAAGCUACGGUGAGGUGGCAAACAACCUUUGACCCGUAGAUUUCUGAAUGGGGAAACCCCACCCAAUAGGGUGAUCAUGUUGUGAAUACAUAGCAGCAUGAGGCGAACCCGGUGAACUGAAACAUCUCAGUAACCGGAGGAAAGGACAUCAACCGAGACUUCGCUAGUAGCGGCGAGCGAACGCGAACCAGGCCAGUGGCUUAUGCAUAAGAACCGGAACGAUCUGGAAAGGUCGGCCAUAGUGGGUGAUAGCCCCGUAUCUAAAACCUUAUUUACAGUGAAAUCGAGUAGGUCGGGACACGUGAUAUCU
rnacentral:rRNA from 1 species